rfam:Ixodes scapularis strain Wikel colony gcontig_1108379493264, whole genome shotgun sequence.
GCGUCGGUGGUUCAGUGGUAGAAUACUCGCCUGCCACGCGGGUGGCCCGGGUUCGAUUCCCGGCCGACGCA